rnacentral:lncRNA from 1 species
UGGCACCGUCCCACGCGGACACAGGAACUAUGGCACCGUCCCACGCGGACACAGGAACUAUUGCACCGUCCCACACGGACACAGGAACUGAAAGGCUGGAGCUGGGGGUCCGUGAAAAGUGAUGGCAGAGGUGGCAGGAGGUGGCGGCAGCCACCGGGAUCCCCAGGCUGGAGGGCAGAAGGCCCUCGCACAUCCGGAUGGCUAAUCCUCCUCCUGAGGAAAUUCACCUGAGCAUCCUGAGCAUCGAUGGUGAGAAGCUACAGGAGGCCGAGCGGCUGUUGACGCCCAGGACCGUGGGCAGCACCUUGCAGGGGGAAACCGGCUUCCUCCGGUCUCCCAGAAGAAGAGUUCAGGCCUUCUCUCCUCUCUCCAGGCCUCCAGCUCUUCCCCAUCCCCGCUCUCAGCGGAGGACUGGCUUCUGUUUUCACUGAAGAAAUCACAGCCUCCUGAGAGGACUUCCCCAGACGCAGCCCUCCCCUGUACCCGCUCCUCCUCCACAUCCCCACCUUCCAUGCCCAGGGCAGCAAACCACCCCCCAUCUGCUUGGGGAUGUCAACAGGCUCCCUGUUUCCUGAAUCUUCAGUUUCUCCUUCCUGCUUGAUUCCCAUCCACAAACUUACCAUUAUGUUUCUUGUCUUUAAAAGAAAAAUAAAAUUU